CUAACAAUAAAAAUUGGUUUUUCCGGAAUACAAAGUCCUUGAGUUAAGAGAGCUUUCAAAAUAUUCAACAAUUUAAGCACAACUCUCUUCCUUACCAAUCUCGCUUAUUUCCAACUUUUUCCCCUUUUUCUUUUUCAUUAAGCUCNUCUUCAUGCUUUUCUUCUUUUCUUUUCUUUUUCUCAUGAAUUUUUCUUUUCACAACAUUUGAGCUCAAUGUUUUUCAUUUGCUUUUAUCAAUUUUCCCUCAUACAACCCCAAACUUGAACCUUUUCAUCAUAUACAAUUAAGCUCAUCCCAACUCUAGGUAAAG
rnacentral:lncRNA from 1 species